rnacentral:rRNA from 1 species
GACGAACGCUGGCGGCGUGCUUAACACAUGCAAGUCGAACGGUGAACGAGGGAGCUUGCUCCCUCCGGAUCAGUGGCGAACGGGUGAGUAACACGUGAGCAAUCUGCCCUGGACUCUGGGAUAAGCGUUGGAAACGACGUCUAAUACCGGAUACGAGGCGUGGGGGCAUCCCCAACGCCUGGAAAGAACUUCGGUCCAGGAUGAGCUCGCGGCCUAUCAGCUAGUUGGUGAGGUAACGGCUCACCAAGGCGACGACGGGUAGCCGGCCUGAGAGGGUGACCGGCCACACGGGGACUGAGACACGGCCCAGACUCCUACGGGAGGCAGCAGUGGGGAAUAUUGCACAAUGGGCGCAAGCCUGAUGCAGCAACGCCGCGUGAGGGACGACGGCCUUCGGGUUGUAAACCUCUUUUAGCAGGGAAGAAGCGAAAGUGACGGUACCUGCAGAAAAAGCACCGGCUAACUACGUGCCAGCCGCCGCGGUAAUAC